rnacentral:lncRNA from 1 species
GUCCGAAGUGUUGAAAAUCCCCCCUUUUUUUUAAUAAAGCCCCAUAAAUCCAAAACUUAAAAUCUGAAAUAAAAAAAAAACGAAAGGGAGCUCACGUCAAUAGAUAUAAACAAUUCACUCAAGUUUCAUGGAAAUUGGUGAAAGUGUUUUUGAGUUAUUGUCCGAAGUGUGGACAGACGGACGGACAACGGUAUACCAUAAUACGUCCCGUCUAAAAUAAGGGCGUAUAAAAAUAAGAAGAUGAGGUAUGAUUGCCAAUGAGAUGAACUUUAUCAGGGACCAAAUGACAUAGUAGUUAACACCUAUAGGUCAAUGUACAGCCUUAAGCAAUGGGCAAAUUCCAAAUGGCAUUGUCAGUUAUUACAGACCUCGAAAUGGCAAAUCUAAAACAAUUCAAACACAAAGAAUAA